UACGUAGGGGGCAAGCGUUGUCCGGAAUCAUUGGGCGUAAAGCGCGUGUAGGCGGCCCGGUAAGUCCGCUGUGAAAGUCGGGGGCUCAACCCUCGAAUGCCGGUGGAUACUGUUGGGCUAGAGUGCGGGAGAGGCGAGUGGAAUUCCUGGUGUAGCGGUGAAAUGCGCAGAUAUCAGGAGGAACACCAAUUGCGAAGGCAGCUCGCUGGAACGUAACUGACGCUGAGACGCGAAAGCGUGGGGAGCAAACAGG
rnacentral:rRNA from 1 species